rnacentral:lncRNA from 1 species
AAUAUACCGCAGGAGAGUCAUAAUACCAUGGCAAAGUAAAUUUUUCAAAAUAUUUUUUCCAGCAAGUUUAAUACAUACAAACUACUUAUUGGUGUAUUCCAACUACACCAAAGAGUUAAAAUUGCCAAAUUUUUUUGAAUUAAAGGUCUAGAGAAGGGGGUUCAAUAUACCGCAGGGGGGUCAAAAUACCAUGGCAAAGUAAAAUUUUCAAAAUAUCUUUUCCAGCAAGUUAAAUACAUACAAACUACUUAUUGGUGUAUUCUAACUACAUAAAAACAGUUCGAAUUGCCAGAAUUUCUAAAAUUAAAGGCCUAGAGUAGGGGUUCAAUAUACCACAGGGGGGUCAAAAUACCAUGGCAAAGAAAAAUUUUCAAAAUGACUUUUCCAGCAAGUUUGAUACAUUCAAACUACUUAUUGGUGUAUUCUAACUACAUAAAAGAGUUAGAAUUUCCAGAUUUUUUUAAAUCAAAGGUCUAGAGUAGGGGGUUCAAUAUACCGCAGGGGGUCAAAAUACCAUGGCAAAGUAAAAUUUUCAAAAUAUCUUUUCCAGCAAAUUAAAUACAUACAAACUACUUAUUUGUGUAUUCUAACUACAUAAAAGAGUUAGAAUUGCCAGAUUUUUGGAAAUUAAAGGUCUAGAGUAGGGGUUCAAUAUACCACAGGGGGUCAAAAUAUCAUGGAAAAGUAAAAUUUUCAAAAUUUCUUUUCCAGCAAGUUUAGUACAUACAAACUAAUUAUUGGUGUAUUCUAAAUACAUAAAAGAGUUAGAUUUGCCAGAUUUGUUUAAAUUAAAGGUCUAGAGUAGGGGUUCAAUAUACCGUAGGCAGUCAAAAUACCAUGGCAAAGUAAAAUUUUCAAAAUAUCUUUUCCAGUAAGUUUGAUUAAAACAAACUACUUAUUGUUGUAUUCUUACUUCAUAAAAGAGUUAAAAUUGCCAGAAUUUCUGAAAUUAAAGGCCUAGAGAAGGGGGUUCAAUAUACUGCAGGGGG